rnacentral:rRNA from 1 species
CUUUCCCUCUGGCGGCAGGCCUAACACAUGCAAGUCGAGCGGCAGCGCGGGGGCAACCCUGGCGGCGAGCGGCGGACGGGUGAGGAAUUCGUCGGAAUCUGCCUUUUUGUGGGGGAUAACGUAGGGAAACUUACGCUAAUACCGCAUACGUCCUACGGGAGAAAGUGGGGGACCGCAAGGCCUCACGCAGAAAGAUGAGCCGACGACCGAUUAGCUAGUUGGUGGGGUAAAGGCCCACCAAGGCGACGAUCGGUAGCUGGUCUGAGAGGAUGAUCAGCCACACUGGGACUGAGACACGGCCCAGACUCCUACGGGAGGCAGCAGUGGGGAAUAUUGGACAAAGGGCGCAAGCCUGAUCCAGCCAUGCCGCGUGUGUGAAGAAGGCCUUCGGGUUGUAAAGCACUUUUGUCCGGAAAGAAAUCCCUGGAGCUAAUACCUUCGGGGGAUGACGGUACCGGAAGAAUAAGCACCGGCUAACUUCGUG